UUCUACUCACAAUCAACUUUUAUUUCCUGUCUUACAAGUGUUCAAUGUGUCCACCACCUGCAGCACGGACAACAUCAAUGCAAAAAGAGAAUUCCUCCCAGACGUGUAUCAGCAUAUCAUGAUCCACUGAGCUGAUCGCUGAUGUUAUUUGAUAUUUAAGGUCAUCGAGGCAGCCAUUCAAAACUUAGAAAACUCGUCUUUCAAAUGGUCACUGACUCAUUCCACGACGAUGCUUGAGAAGUGAAGCAAUGCGUGAUGAAAUCGGUUCAUUCUUUUUAAAUAACUUUGAAUUUUCUUUUAAAACUGUGU